AAAAAUAUCUGAUUUUUGCGGGGUCCUGUAAAUGUAUUUUAUCCAACCAGGCAAGCAGAUAUUCAUAACAAAUAAAGUGCUCAGUUUAAAAAAAAAAAAAAAAAGUGGUUACUCUUCACGCUUGAGCAAUAUGUAAAAUACACUUACCAAAUGAGCGGAACAGACGCAUCCCUGCACGUCUGAUCAACUCUGAGUUUGUUGUAUUGAUCCAAUGUACAUAGAGCUGUGGUUAGUGUCCAGCACCCUGGUUGUUGAUUUCACACCAGUCUGGUCAGCUGAGAUGAUUGAAGGUGUCAGAGGAGUUUUGGGGAGUCUUCUCAAUCAGCACCACACAAAAGUUUGUUAACUCCAUAGUGUAUGGCGUGCCAACAGACCCAUAUGCUAUUAAUUUUGAAUAGCUAUGAACUUUUAUAAAUACACUCAAAUAUCAUUCUCCUUAGUUAUGGAUAAAUAAAUGAACUUACCUUAAAUUUCUGAUUGUACCUUUCGACAAGCAACCUUUAUUGGUUUGAUAAGUUUAAGUUUUUAGAAGUAAGGAAAUAUAAAGGAUAUGGUCAGGAUUAGUGUAGACAGAGAGGGUGAAUCAUUCAUAUGUGGGUGCCUACACUACAUGCCUCUUGCCAGCCCAAUAUAAAUCAGUAUCCAGUUGCCCCCCCAGUUUGUGAUAAUAGGUAGAUACAAUAUCAGAUUUGUCUAGUCGGGGAUGCCUGUCACUCCAGGGCUGCAUCUUCUAUGUGCCAGUAUAGGACCACCUGAUUAACCAUUUUCCUCGAUCUGAGCUGCACUCUCACCACUGAGAUUAUGUCUGCUGUGAUAGAGCAUGACCUGUGUCAGUCCAAUCUAAAGAAUGGCUACUACAUCUUCCCCAUGACCAGCAGUAGCAACAUUUCAAUCCAGCCAGCAUGGUUUAAGGUUGGAGCUAGGGUUAGGGUUAGGUGUGGGGUUGGAGCUAGGGUUAGGGUUAGGGUUAGGGUUGGAGCUAGGGUUAGGGUUAGGGUUAGGGUUGGAGUUAGGGUUAGUGUUGGAGCUAGGGUUAGGGUUGGGCUUGGAGCUAGGAUUUUUCUGAGUGCAAUGAACCAACUCCCGAGUCUCUAGGACGUUCCUAAAAAAAUUUGAUUUUUUUCCCAUAGGAAUGCAUGGGUUAGGGUUAGGGUUACGGUUGGAGCUAGGGUUAGGGUUAGGUGUGGGGUUGGAGCUAGGGUUAGGGUUAG